CCUACGGGAGGCAGCAGUGAGGAAUAUUGGUCAAUGGGCGCGAGCCUGAACCAGCCAAGUAGCGUGAAGGAUGACUGCCCUACGGGUUGUAAACUUCUUUUAUCAAGGAAUAAAGUGAGCCACGCGUGCCUUUUCGUAAGUACUUUAUGAAUAAGGAUCGGCUAACUCCGUGCCAGCAGCCGCGGUAAUACGGAGGAUCCGAGCGUUAUCCGGAUUUAUUGGGUUUAAAGGGAGCGUAGAUGGGUUGUUAAGUCAGUUGUGAAAGUUUGUGGCUCAACCGUAAAAUUGCAAUUGAUACUGGCAGCCUUGAGUGCAGGUGAGGUAGGCGGAAUUCGUGGUGUAGCGGUGAAAUGCUUAGAUAUCACGAAGAACUCCGAUUGCGAAGGCAGCUUACUAGACUUCCACUGACAUUGAUGCUCGAAAGUGUGGGUAUCAAACAGGAUUAGAUACCCGAGUAGUC
rnacentral:rRNA from 1 species